UAACAGCCAGAGGGGAGCAGUUGGCAGUUAUUUUGCAGGAGGCUUUUCUCAGGGAUGAAGGCAAACUGGCCUCUAGCUGAUCAGCUGGCUGGUGAGGACUCUUCAGGAAGUCAGGGACCAUUGUGAAGAUGGAAAAAUGCCCACAACCUCCAGGUUGAGACCUGCUGGCCCUGAGCGUCCUGCUGGCUCAGCGGUGGUAACCAAGAAGUAGCUCAGGCCCAUGUCAGUGGGCCUCACACGCUGGGGCAGGUGCCUGCCAGAUGAUCUCCACUGUGCUUUUCCUUUGUGUUUCUUCUGUCGUAACCAGAAAGUUACCCUUCUGUUUGUGAAGAGCUUCUACCUAACGGCCUGGACCAGCAGAUAUGUCAGCGCUCGUGGUCAGCUGUCAAGCUAUAACAAAAGAGUGUGGAGGCAGUCCCUGAAACCACAGUGGCAUUUUGUAGGGACUAAGAAUCCAAUCUCAAGGGAUCACUCACCCCAAGACGACUGUGUUCUGAGUUGAUGUCUUCCCAGCCAGCUGGGGCCCCAGGUAUCCAAAAGAAGAGCUGUUGUCAGGAUGACUGGAACCUUGGUUCUUGCAAUUCACUCUCUUCCCUCUCUCCAGCCCUCUGCCUUAGAUAUAAAGAAUAAAAGAAACCGCAUCAGAGGUGGAGUCCUUCAGAAGGACUGACAGUGGGCUAGCUCUCCUGAGGCUGGAAGCCUGAAGUGGGGGGUGAGUGCCUUUGGCUCCUUGUCCAGAGUUGAGCUUUAUCACAGAGGUUUUCCCACUUACCAUCAACAUUGAAACUUGCCUCUUCGCCUGGCUGUAUUGUCCUAUUUUGUGCACAGUUUGAUUCCUCCAAACUGCUCUCACUGUGAAGAAGGCCUGUGCAAUGCAGGGAGCCUGGCCAGCCAGCCAGGCCUUUAUAAAGGCCCCCGUACCACAGGAUGGAGAAAAACCCAAUAAAGACUUUGUAAAAUGCU